UUCUAUCUAUUAGGACCAGAGGCGUGCUAAUCCUUAUGAUUCUUUGGUGAUUGUCCCAGCGAUCGAUGUUGGUGGCGGCGACUACAUGGCGACAACAACGACAGGGGAUGAGGCGGAGGCGACACCGUUAGCGGCUCGAGAACCAAAGAACGGGGAUUAGGAGGUGGCACCCGGGUAGAUGGGUCAGGGCGAGGCUCACAGCUCGUCACGACAUCACUCGCCGUCGUCCACGACUAACAGAUUCAGAUGAUACACUAACGGUAGUUGAGGAAUUAACAUCUACUCUAUAUGUGGCAUCAUAAUGUUGCAGCCACUGUUGAUUUUUGGGAGUAUCAGACCCAAUUAUUAUCAUGGAUAUAUCUCUGAAAUUUAACAACAAUUAUCCAAGGCUUGGUGAACGGUUUGGGCUGGAUGGUAAUUGAUGAGAAAUCAAACAAAUACUUCUCAUAUUUUCCUUUCAGAUACAUCAAAUGGUACAGUUUCACUUUUUAUCCACUAACAGGGUUUGCAUCUGGACUGCGGUAGUGGUGUUCCUUGGGUUAAUGCUUGAUGCUACAAUUGCUUUAAAAUAUUUACAGGGUUUCGCAGUGGAUUUGCUUGGAAUGUAAUUUCAGUUCUGUUCAUGUAAGACGUUAUCAUGAAUAACUACGGCUAUAACCUUUGUCGCCUUAUUAUUGUGAUGGGUUUUCGCCUUUACAUUAGAGUUGUUUGAUGAAAAUCCAUCGACGGUGAUGUGCAAAUAUGAUUCCAGUAUCCGCCAUUCCUUGGAAAUUCUCUCCUAAGAUAGGACACAGGAGGGACAAGAUCAGAAGAACCUUGUCACCCAUCUUACUCACAGUGAUGGCAAAGAAGACAGAAUAUGGAACUGAUCUGGUUAGAUGCUCCACUUGAUGAAUACAUACAUAGAAAUGUCACUUCACAGUUGCUUUAGUGAUAUUGCAUCCAUGGAUCUGU